GACCGCUGGCGGCGUGCCUAAUACCUGCAAGUCGCGCGAACAGACGAGGAGCUUGCUCCUCUGACGUUAGCGGCGGACGGGUGAGUAACACGUGGAUAACCUACCUAUAAGACUGGGAUAACUUCGGGAAACCGGAGCUAAUACCGGAUAAUAUAUUGAACCGCAUGGUUCAAUAGUGAAAGACGGUUUUGCUGUCACUUAUAGAUGGAUCCGCGCCGCAUUAGCUAGUUGGUAAGGUAACGGCUUACCAAGGCAACGAUGCGUAGCCGACCUGAGAGGGUGAUCGGCCACACUGGAACUGAGACACGGUCCAGACUCCUACGGGAGGCAGCAGUAGGGAAUCUUCCGCAAUGGGCGAAAGCCUGACGGAGCAACGCCGCGUGAGUGAUGAAGGUCUUCGGAUCGUAAAACUCUGUUAUUAGGGAAGAACAAAUGUGUAAGUAACUAUGCACGUCUUGACGGUACCUAAUCAGAAAGCCACGGCUAACUACGUG
rnacentral:rRNA from 1 species